CUGGAAUACAAAUAUGUUCGUUUAAGAUCCUGACGAUUGGUGAUUCGUUCGAUAACAGGAUGCGGACCUGAGUAAGGUGGCGAUAAUGAUGUACGAACUCGAUCAUCUCGUAGAAAUACGUGUGUGGCAGAACUUAAGUUUCGGUGUACGAAUUCGACAGUUGAUUCACGAAUUGAGCU